CCAGGCCGCUUCCCUCUGCGCGCGGACGGAGACUGGGCUGCGCCGAACCGCCAAAAAACUACAUGUCCCAUGAAUCCGUGGGGCUUCUGACGUGACCGCGGCACGUGGCGCCCAGAGGGGCGGGAGUGGAGGCGGGACCGGUCGGGUCAGGGCGCGUGGCGCCAGGCUGGCCGUUGCGAGCGUUGCCUGGGGGCGUGCGGGCUGGCCGCGUACGCGGGGUUGCCAUGCGGGGGGAGGUGGGAACCGCUUGGUCUCCGCGCGCCUGCCCGAGACCCAUAGCCCCGGGGGCCGGAGUGAGGCGCGCACAGAGAGCCUUGCCCCAUAGCGCCAGGGAGGCUGACCCUAGAGCGGCUGCUGCAGCGACUCGGCCUGAGCCUGCAAUGACCAACAGAGCCGCGCUGCCGGCGUCUGCAGCGAGCCUUCACAGACUGCCUGGAGAGCCUGCACCAGUAGCCCUGUGAGAGAGGGACUGGCCCAGGAGCAACCAACACAGCGACCCUGCCUGAGUCUGCAGAGAGCCUGGACCAAUGGCCCCAAGAGAGUGGACUGAUCCCAGAGUGACCAACACAGUGACACUGCCUGAGUCUGUAGAGACCUAUAGCAUCAGAGGAGGGGACUGACCGCAUCUACAGAGAGCCAGGACCAAGAGUCCUGACUGGAGAGGGGACUGAUCCCAGCCUAAUUGACGGUGCAAUAUUUGCCCAAGUCUGCAGAGCCUGGAAUGACAGCUUUGAGAGGGAACUGCCCUGUGCAUCUCUGCAGAUUGUUAAUACCACGACUUAAAGACAAUGACACUAUCUCCCUGCUGAUCACAGCCUGAAGGAGAGGGAUGAGCAUAUUACCAACAGCUCCACAGUCUGCUGUAGGGGUUGGCUCUCUUUCUUGCCACAAAUGGGUAUUGCUUCAGUGAGGGCCACCUCUCUGAUCCCAUAGUGGAGGGCUGGCAACCAGUAUUCUGCAUGGGGGGCCCCGCUGCUCUGGGGGAUUGGGGGUGUUUCCAUUUCCUUCCUGGCUAUCUGGAGAGACCGGGGGGCCCUCCCUCCCCCUCAUGGACCAGUGGCAGUGGUGGGAGCAGCAGCAGGGUGCUCUUCCCCUCAGACUCCAAUGACUCCCUCAGAUGAAGGCUGUUGGCAGACUCAGGCAAUUAUUGCUGCGUUGCGUGUGUUUUCAUACUUUUCUUUGCAUCCAUGAGGACUAGAAACUUUCCUUUUUGUUAAAUGAAAGCUGAGAUUCUGAUAAUGACAUAGCUCUAGGAGCCAGGGUCACAUGCCUGUGCCUUAGUCUGGCCCUGCUUAUGGGGUAUCCAAACUCUGUUAAAGGGGAGCUAAGCUAUGAUGCCUAGAAAAGCCCACUUGAUCAUACUCUGAACAUCUGCCCAACCUAUUGUGAGUGGUAUCUCAUCUUGAUGCUUAGUGGGCAGAUCCUGGGGAGGACCCCUCACACCCCCAUUGCAGCCAUGGUAGUAAGGGUGUAACAAUCGAUAGUGCUGGUUUACAUGAGGCUGGCCUUUAUGUGCUGCUUACUUGUUCUCAGCACAGCUCAUUCUGCAUUGGCCAUUUCACUGUUGUGGAGCUGAUGACUGGAGCCUGAAAUUACUGCUAUUGGUGUUUUCACUGUCAUUGACUUACGAGAUGGGAAAAGGGAGAUGAUUCUGUCAGCAGCAUUCUGGAUGUCUUCAAGGAACAGAGCGCGAGUCUUCUCCCUGGAUUCAUUUAAAAGUCUUUUUUCCCUCCUGUAUGACUGACCCUCGAUAAUUAUGACCACAGCGCUGAUGGUAAUAGCUGGUACAUUGGCAGGUUGUCAGCCACUUCACGUCUAGAAUCUUGUUAGCCAAUACAUAUGCUAGGCAUAGUAUUGUAUAAGGGUUGGGAAGUUAUGUUAACUGAAUGUAGUAUUCUCUCCCCACAAUUCUUUCCACCCAUGUCAAGUUUCCCAAAACACCAUGCAUUAGGUCAGGGGUGGCUAACCUGUGGCUCUGGAGCCACAUACGGCUCUUCAGAAGUUAAUAUGUGGCUCCUUGUAUAGGCACCGACUCCAGGGCUGGAGCUACAGGGGCCAACUUUCCAGUGGGCCGGGGGGUGCUCACUGCUCAUCCCCUGGCUCUGCCACAGGCCCUGCCCCCAUUCCACCUUCCCGCUCGCUCCCCUGAGCCUGCUGUGCUGUCACUCCUCCUCCCCAGAGCCUCCUGCAUGCCACAAAACCACCGAUCAGGAGGUGUGGGGAAGGAACGGGAGGUGCUGACUGGUAAGCUGGCUGGUGGGUGAGACACUGGGAGUGGGUAGUGGGAGCUGCUUGGGGUCUGCUGACAUAUUACUGUGGCUCUUUGGCAAUGUACGUUGGUAAAUUCUGGUUCCUUCUCAGGCUCAGGUUGGCCACCCCUGCAUCAGCUGAAGUAAGCUUUGGCUUAAGUAGAUAGGAAAACUGUCAGGAUUGGGACAUAGCAAGAGGUAGGGAGUUACUCUCAUAGGCUAAUACUGGAAUAUCCCAAAGGAAAAGGACAAAUAAAAGAAUGUUCUAUCAUGGUACAAAACUAGAAGGUGCCUUCAUGCUCCUUAGUACCUGGACUGCACAUAUUCAGAACAAAGAGAUAAGGGAUACAUAAUGAUACCAGAAGAACAAGGUAGAAAGCUGAUUGGUUAUAUCUAGUUUCAGAGGAUGUAUGUAGCAUGCUUUACUUGUAAACGGGUAGGGUAUACAAAGAUGGUAUUAGGUGGUGUAAAAUUGGGAGCACACCUUCUGCAUAAGGUGAAUGUGACAACCCUGCACAAGAUGACUUCCUGGAGAUUGGUAUCAUAUUGGACCUUUUUCCAGUACUAUAUUAGUCUUAGGUUUUAACAAUAAACCAAACUGACAUUUAGUCUCUUGAAUAUAUUUCACAAUGAACCAAAGUGUGGUCAAGCAAUUCUGUCAGAAAUCUAAUCCUUUUUCCCGCUUGUAGUUGAAGUAUUCUUAUGAUAAUAUUUAUUCUCCUCUAGCUUCCUGCCAUGUAGAAUUUGUGUAGCUGCUUUGGGGUUAAUUGUCUUUGCCUCAGGAAGCUUGGUAGAAGUUAGCACUAAGGCCUUUCUCUUUCCCAUGAGUCUGUGAACUUGUGAUCCUGAUAAAGCAUGGUGAGGGUAUGUGAAUAGCAACUGUUAACAGCUAGCUUCACUGGGAGCAUAGGAGGGAAAAGCCAAUGAGAAGAUUCGCCUAUUGCAGACUGUAGUGCCCUGCCGGUUUGAUGUUUGCAUCUGCAGCCGCAUCCUCAUACAGGUGCUCCCAUUCUUCCUCCAUGCAGGCUUCCAUCUUCACCCUUGUCAUCACACCACACUCAUGUUCCAUGCCAUUGCAGUCCUUCCCACCCUUGAUCCAGGUGCUGCACUAGUUUCACUUGCUUCUGGUUCAGUGCCAGAAGUGUGCUAUAAAUAGGGCUGCAACACCCAAAAAGGUAGGUGUUGCCUUUUAUUGGCUCUUUAGGAUUUAUACAUAUAAGUUUGAAAAUGUUUGGGUUUCUUUCUUUUCAAAGAUAUUUCUAAUGUAACAGAACAAGCAGGAGAAAAAGCAAGUCCUCAGUGCUCUUCUCGGGGGUGGAGGACCCUGUCAAGAUCUCUUUAGGAUCUGAACAGAGUUGUCACAGGAGGCUACGAGCUACAGCUGUUCCUCCAUCUUCAACUCUGGGUGGGGGGGAUACUGAGACUCCAUUUGUGUCCUCCAACGAUCUGGUAAAGAGGUGGAAGAGAGGGCCUGAUAUAGGUAAUGCUAAAGAAGCACAGUGAUUCUGUCUUUGCUCUUUAUAUAUCAAAAAGAAGCAACAAAGCCAGACUUUCUUGUUUUGGCACUAUAGUUCACCCACCCUUAAUCUAUAAAGAUCUGUAGCAGGGUUCUCAUGUUCCUUCAUUUCAUGGGUUACCCUGGGCUCCCCCACUUCCAGCCUCUUUAUUCUCCCAGCCAAUUUGGGGGCCCCUGCAGGAACACCAGAACCUUUUUAGAAGUGGGGGGCCCCCCACUGGUGCCUGAACUGUGGUCCUGUCCUCUGUUCCUCCUCUUCCCCCUGGGGCCCUGCCCCCGGCCAGGCUAGAAGUCAGAGCCGGGCCACAGUAAGAGAUGCCCAAGGAGCCUGGGCUGCUGUGGUGAGUCCUGGACCCUCCACCUGCCCUGGGUGGGGGGACAGGGGACCUGAGAACAGCCCCUGGCUUGUGUCCCAGGGCAGAUGGACGGUCUAGGGCUUCCCACAGCAGCCCAGGCCCCCUCGUUGGCUCUUACCAUGGCCAGUCUCCAACUUCUGGCCUGGCCGGGAGUGGGGCCUCAGGGGAGAGGAGGAGCAGGGGGGUGAGGUUCCAUGGUGAGUGGUAUGCGGGGGGGAGGAGGGGAGAGGAGGGGCAAAAGUUCUUUGUACCCAGGCCCCAAUAAAUUUUAAUCCGCCUCUGUUAAAAGGACUCCGCAAACCAUUCCCCUAUGUAGUUUGAGAUUCAGAUGUUACCCCAAGAUUUAGAUCUCAGGCACUCCAAUGAUGGUUUACCUAAGACUAUGCAAUUUGCUUUAUGCAAAGGGGUAAUAAGAUAGUGGUCCACCGUAGAGGAAUUGCCAGGGUGUUACCAGGGGUCUUGUCUCCGACCCGCAGAGAGCUCCCCAGAGCAAGCUAAUUGUGCUAACCCCUUGGAAGGACACUGAUACCGCCUUCUGCUCAAGGAUGAACACACAGGCAGUAGUUCUUCAAAAACAAAAUAAUAUUUAUUUAGAAGAAGUAAGUAGUUACAAUGUAUCUAAUAAAGCAAGAAAGAAUAUGUAAAACACAAUAGAAUUACAUUUAAAGAGUUGUAUAAUAAAGCGGCAAAAUAAAAUAAUACAAAAAAACCACAGAAUAUACAGGAUACACCGACCAUAUAGCAGUUACACAGUAAUAGGCAUAUAGAGACCCUGCCUACACAAAGGUCUUAGUGUUAAUGUUAUAAUCCAAUGCCAUUAUUUGAUCUAAUGUAGCAUGCAUGACCUUUACACACACGUAAAAGAGACUAUUACAUUGUUACAGAUUUAAUGAAAUCGUUUGCUUAACACUAACAUCCUGUGAGCAGUGAUGGGUGGGGUGGAUCUCACUCAGACACAGGCAUCCAGCUUUAUUGACAGGCACACCCGAUCAUUCCUUUUUACCAGAGACAAAAUCACAACUUCUGCUGUUCUCACAGCCCCCCGAUACCGUCUGUAAAGGUCUUUCUGCUCUGUCACACAAGGAAGGAGGUGCUGUCAGGUUGCCGUUCAGGCUGCAGUGGUGGUUGGAACUGUUAGUACCGUCUUCCUUGGAAGCCUCGGUUUCUGCUGCCUUAGAGGCUUCCGUAGCUACUGUGUUCUAAAGCUGCUGCUCUCUAGAAGAUUCUACUGUUGCUUCUGCAGGUAGCUGCUGUCCAGAAUCUUCUUAAGAUGCUGCUGCAGUUCUUGCUGCAUCUUGAGGUUUCUGAUCUUCACCAACCCAACCAAGCCUGCUAGCUGUUGGUCUUAUAUACUGGUUGCUACUGCAAGGUGAGCUCAUUAACAUAAUUUAUUAGCCUGGCUCAGCCAAUCAGCUUCCUGUAAUUAGCAUAUUUCUAGAUCCUUCCUAUUAUGUCAUACCUAUUUUUAGAUAGCUAGGCUCCUCCCUAUGAGUUGCUGGAACUUUCCGUACCCUAACCCUGUGUCUUUUAUAGAGGAUUAUUGUGUCCACCAUUAUGGAUUUCUAACUUUAAAUGAUCACUAAUUAUUAUUUAUCUAAAGCCUUAAUCUUAAAACUAACUGCUAUUUUAUGCAAAUCAGAGUGUCCCGGUACUGUCACCACCUUACUUAUAUCAACAGGGAGAGGUGAAAUUUUUAUGAUAUUUAGCCUCCCCCCCCCUUUUUUUUCUCCCAGUUUUUCUCUGAUGGUCUCUAUCAAGGUGCUGUAAGGUUUUUCAAAACAGCUAAAAGCAAAAUCUUUCAUUACACAGAUACCUCAUCACUUCUCUGCUCAACACUAGAUCAGUUGAGGCACUUUUGCUGAUAGUUUUUGGUUUGCUCUCUUGAGACACUAUGUCUUCUGCCUCUUUUGACGCCUGACUUACACAAUGUCUGUUUUAUCUGUGACGUGCCCACAUGCCAUUGCAAUAAAAUAAAUCCUGCAGUUCUGUUUUUUCCCAUAACUGUGGGGGGAUUCCAAUUACCUCUGAGACGUCAUUUAAAAAAACGUGGUGUUAUCCUUUUCUAUUCCACAUUUCUCUCUUACACCCUCCCCCCCCCAGACCUGAGUGUCUUUGGGGACCUUGCCUUGAUUCUCAACCCCAUCUCUCCUAUCCAGCUUUUUUGACUAAAACUUGGUGCUGUAGUUUCACCAGGUGAUCUGACACUUCUUGCCUCCACUGUACAGUGACUUGGGCUAUGUCAAUGCGACAGCGGCACGGCUACAGCGCCACUGUAGCACUUCUGGUGAAGACACUCUAAGCCACUGGUUUAGUAACUCCUGCCUUCAUGAGAGGCAGUAGCUAUGUUGACAGGAGAAGCUCUCCCGCCGACGUAGCACUGUCCACAGAAGUGCUUAGGUUGGUAUAACUUACAUCCCUCAGAGAUGUGGAUUAUUCAUGCCCCUGAGCGACAUAAAUUAUACUGAAGUAAUUUGUAAUAUAGACAUAGCCUUGCUAGUUAAUUAAUAUAUUAUUCUGAUUAGUUUUUUAAUGAGAGAUGCAAUGUGUUACUCUAGUUCAGUGAAUCUCUUUUGAAGUUACAGGGGGCAAAGAGUGAAUGUGUUAUUGCACUGGAAGAGGAAAGACUAGUCUUUUCUCUCUCUGGGAUUGCAUUAUCUACUUCUCGUCCCUGGAUAGAGAGCACUCUGAUUCAGCCAUUCCUGCCAGGGAGCCACAAACUCUCCUUCAGAUCCUGUGGAAGUUAGAACUGCACAGGAUGAGAGCUCUCUAGGAUUUUUUGAUGGGGUGUGGGGAGGGCGCAAGAAGUAUUUGAAGGCAGGGACUGGCCACUUUCCAUGGCAUUGCCCCUUGCAGGCCCUACAGAUGUCCUCGGAGAUUGGGAGUUAAUGUUGUUUGAAACACCAUUAUCUCCCAUGGAGCCUCCCUUCAUUGUGGAGAAACAGGCAAUGGCAAGCAGCUCCUUGCAGGCAUGGUGCAAAAAGAGAGGGAAGCAAAGAAGCCGGUGCAUGAGACUGACUGGUCUAGGACACCUUUUCUCUGGAUGUCACCAGGAUCACCAGCUUGGGAGGCUGUGCCCUUUCCACAUACUCCAAGAGCCCUCCCACUUGAGGGCAAAAUCACUGGGAAACUCCAUGAGGACAAAGUUUCCUGGCUCCUGUGAUCUGCUGCCAUAGUCUUUCCUGUGUGCGCAGGAUGACCUGUUUCCGAUUUCUAUGAUUAAUUACUGUCACAGCGUAGGAAGGGUUGGCUUGUGGCUACAGCACUGGACUGAGGCCCCAAACACCUGGUUUCAAUUCCUGGCUCAACCACAAAUUCCUUGUGUGAUUUUGAGCAAGUCACAUAACUUACCCUGUGACUCAGUUCCUCGUCUGUAAUAUAGAGAUACUAAUUCUUUACUUCCCAGGGAAAUUUGGAAGAUAAAACCCAUUAAUGAUUAUGAACUGCUCAGAUACUACAGUGAGGACUAAAUGCCUAGAUACAUUUAUCUCUGGAAAGGUAUUUUUAUCUGUUAAAAGAUCAAGAGUAAAAGUUGCUUGUCACACAACACUCAAAGUUGAAUAUUGGUUUAGUUUUAUUUGUAGGCACUUGCAGGCCUUUGUGCAUGAGAGCUUUUUAUUAUAAACACAGAACACCUUCCAGUGGGGCAUCAGAAAACAUGGGCUACAUAUCUGCUAUGUGGUGGUUGAUCUCUCACCCUCUCCACAGGGGGAGAUGCACGUGUGCUGAAGUGUCUUGUUUUGGUAGGGGUUUAGGUUGUUUGUUGCUAUGUAUUUAUAUAAAGCAUAAUGGGCUCUUUCAUGGCUUAUUGCUACAGGGAUGAUUGUGCCAUAAGAACCUCUAUAGAAUAGACUGUAUUUUUAUCAAAAGUUGUGCAAAAAUCAAACACCUCAAAUGUUUUGUGUUAAAUAAAUAUUUGAUGCAACCUCUUA